rnacentral:tRNA from 1 species
GCCGGGGUGGCGAAAUGGCAGACGCAAGGGACUUAAAAUCCCUUGGGAGUAACCUCCCGUGCGGGUUCGAGUCCCGCCCCCGGCA